AGAAUCCAGGCAAACAGCUGUUGCUGACGAAGUAGUGGGCAGUUGGGACUUUAAAUCUUCCAGAGUUCAAGCACCAAGCUGGGCAACAUGCGUGAAAUAGUGCACUUUCAGAUUGGCCAAUGUGGUAACCAAGUAGGGGGCAAGUUCUGGGAGGUGAUUAGUCAAGAACAUGGAAUCAACUCCAAAGGGAAUUAUGAAGGAGAUUCAGACCUCCAACUUGAGAGAGUCAAUGUAUACUUCAAUGAAGCACAUGGUAACAAGUAUGUGCCGAGGGCAGUACUGGUGGACUUGGAGCCUGGGACAAUGGAUAGUGUCCGGUCUGGCUACAUCGGUCAGCUCUUCAGACCGGAUAACUUCAUCUAUGGAAACUCAGGGGCUGGCAACAACUGGGCCAAAGGCCAUUACACAGAAGGUGCCGAGCUGGUGGAAAACGUGCUGGAUGUCAUGAGGCAUGAGUGCGAGAGCUGUGACUGCCUCCAAGGCUUCCAGCUGAUACACUCACUGGGAGGAGGCACUGGCUCAGGCAUGGGCACUCUCAUCAUGAGCAAAAUCCGAGAGGAAUACCCCGAUAGAAUCAUGAACAGCUUCAGCGUGAUGCCUUCACCGAAGGUCUCUGACACUGUGGUUGAACCGUACAAUGCCACCUUGUCCAUCCAUCAGCUGAUAGAGAACACCGAUGCAACCUUCUGCAUCGACAACGAGGCCUUGUACGACAUUUGUUUCCGGACCUUGAAGCUCCCCACACCAACCUACGGUGACUUGAACCAUUUGGUCUCCAUGACGAUGAGCGGUGUCACCACCUCACUACGUUUCCCAGGUCAACUCAAUGCAGACCUGAGGAAGCUGGCAGUCAAUAUGAUUCCUUUUCCUCGGCUGCAUUUCUUCAUGCCUGGUUUUGCCCCACUGACGUCCCGUGGAAGCCAAGACUACCGCUCGCUGACUGUUCCAGAACUCACUCAGCAGAUGUUCGACGCCAGGAACAUGAUGGCAGCCUGUGAUCCGCGUCACGGCAGGUACAUGACUGUGGCAGGGAUCUUCAGAGGCAAGAUGUCCACCAAGGAGGUGGAUGAUCAGAUGUUAGCUGUCCAAACCAAGAACAGCAAUCACUUUGUGGAGUGGAUCCCCAAUAAUGUCAAGGUGGCUGUGUGUGACAUUCCACCAAAGGGACUCAAAAUGUCUUCCACUUUCAUAGGGAACAACACUGCCAUCCAAGAGCUCUUCAGGCGCAUUAGUGAGCAGUUCUCCGCCAUGUUUAGAAGGAAGGCUUUUCUCCAUUGGUACAUAGGAGAAGGUAUGGAUGAGAUGGAGUUCACAGAAGCCGAAUGCAAUAUGAAUGAUUUGGUGUCUGAGUACCAACAGUACCAAGAUGCUACAGUUGAGGUUGAAGAUACGGAGUAUGAAGAGGAAGAAGCCAACUCUGCACAAGUUUGAGUAAUUAGGAGAACUGUGCACCUUGCCAAAGGAAUAAUGAAUGUAACAGCAAAAGAAGUGAAGCAAACAUCUAAAGCAACAAUGAUCUUAUUCUAAUUGGAAAUAUUAGGAAUGAACCUGGAAACUGAAAUCACCACUAUACCUUCAUAGAUUUAUAAUUUCAUACUUUACCUAUGCAUCAUUAGCAACCAAACUUCAGAAGCAUUGCUUGGAAAUAUUAGAUGUUUAUCUACUGAACACAAACAUAGGCAACCGUCGUAAAUUAGUGAGGAAAAAUAAAACACAUCAUAGGUAAGCUUCCACUAGGGGAUUACUCUUAGAAUAUUUUAAAUAAUCUGGGUGGUCAAAGGUGGAGGAAUGGAGGGAUGCAUUACAUAAUAUUGCAUUUUUUUUAAUGCAGUGAUGGAUAUUCACAAUAAGAGCACGUGCCUCCAGCAGUAUGAAUUAGACAUGAGGAUGGUUGUGCAACAUAUAUUUUUGAGAGAAAAAAUAUAAUUUCUGGACUGAACCAAAGUGGAAACCAAAUUUGCUACAGACAUUAUCCAAUGCUUUUUUUUUAAAAAAAACAUUCAAAUGUUUUAAUUGGCAAAUAUUAAAGCUUAUCUGACAGAAUCUGGUCAUACUUGAAAUGUUGCACAACCUAAGCUCCCACACAUCACUCCUCACACUUUCCUGUGAUGCUUUAAGAUAGAGAAGAAAAGCGAAAAUCAAAUUUUAAAAACUGCAGAUGAUGCAUACACCCAGUUGGUCUGGCGGUAUCCAUGGAAUGAGAAACAGUUAACAUUCAGAUCCUGAAGACGUCAAAUGUCAACUGUUUCUCCCUCCACUGAAUUCUGCUGACUUGCUGAGCGUUUCCAGCAUCUUCUGCUUUAUUUUUCCAGACCUUUACCUAGAAUCCGAAACCUACUCACUACUCGCAAAGGUCCAGAGCAGCAACACACCCCACAGUCAAAAGUAGGUUCAGAGGUAACCUGACAAAAAUGUGCGCUAUUAUGUGAUGCUUACUAUUUUGCAAGACCAUUUUAUUACGUCUAAUAAAAAUGCUUCAUUUAGUUGCUGAGCAUGCUGGUGAAUAACCAAAAUUUGCCUGUUUUUUAAGUGGCCUUGCUUGCAAUAUUUUAUCCAACCAGACUUCUGUAUUUAUAAGUAGUCACAGUGAUGUGAAUGGUAAUGGAUGGUGUCAUUACAGGGAUAAUUAUUGGUAUGAGUGAUGAUAAUAGCAGUGCAAAUAUUGUUGGGAGUGGUACUCUUGUCCAAUGAAACUUAAUUCAAAUGCCUCCAAUCAACUGCAAGGAUCACAGAGUCUUCAGUCAGACAAAAAUAUAAAUCGCAUCUCCCCUCAGCCAUCUCCGCACUGCUCCAACUAAGUCCAACAAACUUGGCAGACAUCAACUCAUCUUCCAUCUGGCAAAUUGCAGUCCUCAGGACUUCAUGCUGAAAUUAACAAUUUAAGAUAACUUAAGAUAUAUUUUUUCUAUCCAGUUAUGACUGUCUCUUACAUUUUCAACAUACCUAUUUUACUCUUGUUUCCAACUAUCAGCUUUUAAAUUAAUUGUUACCUUCACAACUUUGGUCUGCAUUCCAUCAUGGAUAUUGCCUUUGUCCUCUCCACAACUUAAAAAGCAUAUUUGCUUUCUUAUUUAUUCAGUCUGGACAAAAGAUCCUUAAUCUGAAAGGCUGACUUUAUUUCCCUCCCUUGGGAUGGUACCCAGCCUGAUAAGCGUUUGCAAUAUUUUGUUUAGAUUCCCAGCAGUUUUUAUUUUGCUCAAAUUAUUGCUUAGAUUCCUUAAUGUAUAAAUAUUAAACAUGAAAAACAGUUGCGCAGAGCCGGCCUACACACAACUGCAAAGAGGCAGUCUCACUUUCUUUAUGGUACUUUACCAAUGCUAAGAAAAUAAUAAAAGAAUUCUUGUUAGUGGAUUAUAGGAUCUCCCACUGAUUUCAUCGAAGAGGGAGAUGGCAAGUGUCCGGGAACAUCAUCAGCUCAGUUCCCCUCUAGCUUGCAUCCCGGCAAGGGGCGUACAUUGCAAUACUUCAUUUUCACUAAACUUCACCUCAGAACUCCCUAAAUGACAGCUUCACCCAGUCUCCAUUGGUUCAAAAAAUCCCACAAAAGCCUCAUGGGCAAUCACAUGUACAGACUGACUGGAAUAAAUAGUUUUCAAAAUUAUUAUCAAUAAACAAACUAAUAAUCACUUUAAGAUGUAAAAUAAUUUUGCCUUCUUAAGGCCUUUGGAAGGACAAACCAAGGUAGAACAUACAGGGUUAAUGGUAAGGCACUGGGGAGUGCAGUAGAACAAAGGGAUCUGGGAAUACAGAUACAAAAUUCCCUAAAAGUGGCGUCACAGGUAGAUAGGGUCAUAAGGAGAGCUUCUGGUACAUUGGCCUUUAUUAAUCAAAGUAUUGAGUAUAAGAGCUGGAAUGUUAUGAGGUUGUAUAAGGCAUUGGUGAGGCUGAAUCCGGAGUAUUGUGUUCAGUUUUGGUCACCACAUUACAGGAAGGAUAUUAAUAAGGUUGAAAGAGUGCAGAGAAGGUUUACAAGGAUGUUGCCAGGACUUGAGAAACUCAGUUACAGAGAAAGGUUGAAUAGGUUAGGACUUUAUUCCCUGGAGCGUAGAAGAAUGAGGGGAGAUUUGAUAGAGGUAUAUAAAAUUAUGAUGGGUAUAGAUAGAGUGAAUGCAAGCAGGCUUUUUCCACUGAGGCAAGGGGAGAAAAAAACCAGAGGACAUUGGUUAAGGGUGAAGGGGGAAAAGUUUAAAGGGAACAUUGGGGGGGGGGCUUCUUCACACAGGGUGUGGGAGUGUGGAAUGAGCUGCCAGACGAGGUGGUAAAUGCGGCUUCUUUUUUAACAUUUAAGAAUAAAUUGGAUAGAUAAAUGGAUGGGAGGCGUAUGGAGGGAUAUGGUCCAUGUGCAGGUCAGUGGGACUAGGCAUAAAAUGAUUUAGCACAGCUAAGAAGGGCCAAAAGGCCUGUUUCUGUGCUGUAGUUUUUCUAUGGUUUCUAAAGUAAAAGAUGCAGGAGAAACCCAGAUUCUGACAUCAUUGGUCUAUGUAGACUUCAUAAAUCUGGGGUAUGACAGAGUAAAUGUUUAAUCACUCCCAAAUAGUUCUUGCGCUCUCUGGCUGGAAAUUACAGUGUCAACAGACUUUGAAAAAUUAGUCUCAAUUUUCCACACCCUCAACACAAAAAGUCUUGUACACUCCAAGUUCCUAAUGCCAUUUACAGCACUCCUAUCCCACUGCUUUCAUUACCAAUUAAAACAUUUUCAGCAUUUUAUAUUUUGGCAGAAAAUAAUUGCUUAAUUGUAGCAAAUGCCUUCACGGGAAAACUGAGCAAGCACAUGGCAAAUGAACAGAUGGUGUAUGGAUGGUAUUGUUGAAUGUACAGGGAGUUCAUUUAAAGCAUUGACAUAUUUGCUUUGGUUGGUUUGUGCUGUAACUUCUGUGCCUAACUUCCAUGCCAUAAGUGUGCUUAAUUCAGUUUAUGCCAUUGCACAAGAUACAGAAUGUCACAAUGGAGUUUUGUUUACUCUUGUUUUUAAACAUGAAUAUCAAUAAAUGAGCAUCUGUAAUCUUUGUUGUAAAAAUAUGUAAAGCAACCAAAGGUUGGACUAUAUAAUAAUGAAGCAUAUAUUCUAUCGGUUCUUCACUGAUAAGACUGGUGUUUGUGUUCAUGAGCUAAUAACACAACACCCAUGGACUAAGGAGCCAGAUUAAGCACAAAUUCAAAUCCAAGGCUGUUUUUAAUUUACCUCUAUCCCCAACAAGGUCUGGUCACUUGCAGUUCAAUGCAAUUGACAUUCAACCAAUGACGAAAGCAAGCUAGCAAGGCAUUUAGUUGUAGUAAUGACUGACCUUAAAGUGAACAGGAGGUCGUCAUUUGGCCUUGCUUUCAUGCUGCACCAUUCAGUAAGAUCACCACAACUUUUCUGCAUCACAUUCUGUAAUGUCCUUAAUAUCCCAAACCCUAGCAAUCUCACCAGUCCCUUUGGACUGGCAAUUCAAAGGUUCACUACCCCUUGGUGAGGGAAUCCCCCUCACCUGUUCUGACUGGCUGACCUCUUUGAGACUGAUCCCUAGUUUUCCCUGGCUGUGAUAUCUUGACCACCACCAAUGCAUCAACCCAGUGAAGAUAUACCUCACAGGACAAUCUCUCCCAUCCCAGGUGUUCAUCUCUCUUUUACAAGCAUUUUGCCAUAGAUCAGGAGACUAUGUGUGCACGAUACUCUAGGUGUGGUCUCACUUGAGCACGACUUCUCUACUCAUUAAAAUCCUCUCGGAAAGGAAUAAGCUUUGGCAGCAACAUAAAUUGUGAUCACCAGGAAGGUCAACCUUGUAUAAAUUGACUUUGAAGAACAAGUCAUUAUGAAUGUCAAAUGUGCAAUAUCAAGGCUCUUUGUCAAGGUCAACAGAUGGCCAUUUAAUCACAAAGAUACCCACUCCAAGAAGCAAACUAUAUGCUGGGACAAUGCUCAUCAACUGUGGCUAGAAGCACAUGCUGGCUUUUCAGCAGAGCCAUUGAUGUGCAAUGGAGAAUGGUCAACCUGUGCCUUCCUGAAGUACACAACCAUCUUAACUGCAUUGAGACUCAGGUUGUUGUUCUCACACCGAUUGACAAGCCUCUCUACCUCCUCUCUGUAUGCCAACUCAAUAAUGUUGUUGGUGAACUCUGAAUGAAAAAUUAUUCAUUCAGACAUAAUUUAUUAUAUCUAAUCCAUUGGAUCUUGUAAUUUGAAAACACCCCCAUAUCACUCCUCAAUGACCCAAGAAGUACAUUCCAAGCUUCUCCUGCAAAUCGUCAAUUUCAAUCUUUUACCCUACGGAUUAUUUGGUGAAAUGUGCUGGACCUAUUUCAAGUUGCCUGACUUUUAAAUGCUUCCAGAUCCACGUAAGGCCCCAUACAUAAUAACACUCAGUUAAGGCAUCUUUUUUUUUUGCAGUCUAUUUAUUCACUACAUUUUGAAGUUAAUUGAGUGCCUAAUACUGAUAUCAUGUAUCUCUAGGUUACAAUGCAAAAGCUGAAGUUAGAUUAAUUAAUGUUCUGCAAGUGACUCAGUGUUCCACAAGGAUCAGACCGACCCAGCAAUGAGUGAGAUGAUGCAACACUUGGAAACCAUGAAUCAAAUACCAAGCAUUCCUCAAUCCAAGAUGAAACAAGUGAACUCAGUACACCUUUCAUGAAAUGACAAACGUUCAUGAAUUCAAUUACCUAUUUGUCAAGAGCCCUAUACAAGAUUCAAAUCAAUUUUGUUGAAUCUCGUAUGAUUAACCUUCAGAAUGACCUCAGACACACCAUCAGGAAAAUAUUGUUUUACCUGCAGUAUUGCAUUAAGUCUCUGCAAUCACAUUUUUAAAGUUUAUUACUUUGAAUAGCAGAAAGUCUCUUCUAGCAUUUACAUAGAGCCUAUAAAAAUGAUUCACCCUACCCUUGGAAGUUUUCCUUUUUUAUUGAAUCACAGUGGAUUUAAUUUGGCUUUUCUGACGCUGAUUAACAUAAAAAGACACUUUCAUGUCAAAGUGAAAACAGAUCUCUAUAAAGUCAUCUAAAUUAAUAACAAAUAUUAAAAAUAAUUGAUUGCACAAGUAUUCACCCCCCCCCCUUUAAUAUGGCACACCAAAUCAUCACUGGUGCGGCCAAUUGGUUUUAGAAGUCACAUACUGAGUUAAAUGGAGAUGUUUUUGGAGACCUGUGUGCAGUCAAGGUGUUUCAAUUGAUCAUAGUAAAGAUACACCUGUAUCUGUAAGGUCUAAUGCUAGUGAGUCAGUAUCAAACUACACUAUGAAGACAAAAGAACACUCCAAGCAACUCCAUGAAAAGGUUAUUGAAAAGCACGUCAGGAGAUGUAUACAAGAAAAAUCUUCCUUGGAGUACAGUUAAGUCAAUCAUCAAGAAAAUGAAAAGAAUAUGGUACAGCUGUAAAUCUGCAUAGAGUAGGACAUCCUCAAAAACCUGAGUGACCGUGCAAGAAGGGGACUAGUGAGGGAGGUCACCAAGUGACCCAUAACAACUCUGGAGGAGUUACAAGCUUCAGAGGCUGAGCCGGGAGAGGUUGCACAGACAACUGUUGCCCAGGUGCUUCAUCAGUUGCAGCUUUAUGGGAGAGUGGCAAAGAGAAAGCCACUGUUGAAAAAACAAAUGAAAUCUUGGCUAGAGUUUGCUAAAAGGCAUGUAGGAGACUCUGAAGUCAGCUGGAAGAAGGUUCUAUGGUCUGAUGAAACUAAAAUUGAGCUUUUUGGUCUUCAGACUAAAUGCUGUUUGGCAUAAGCCAAACACAUCAAAAACACACCAUUCCUACCAUGAGCAUGUUGGUGGCUACAUCAUGCUGCAGGGAUGUUUCACUGCAACAGGCCCUGGAAGGCUUGUGACGGUAGAGGGUAAAACAAAUGCAACAAAGUACAGGGAAAUCCUGGAGGAAAACCUGAUGCAGUCUGCAAGAAAACUGUGACAUGGGAGAAGACUUGUUUUCCCAGCAAGACAAUGACCCCAAGCAUAAAUCCAACGCUACACAGGAAUGGCUUAAAAACAAAAUAAUGUCCUGGAGUGGCUAAGUCAGAGUCCAAACCUCAAUCCAAUUGAGAAUUUGCGGCUGGACUUGAAAAGGGCUGUUCACUCACGAUCCUCAUGCAACCUGUCAAGGCUUGAGCAGUUUUAUAAAGAAGAAUGGGGGAAAAAUUGCGUGUCCAGAUGUGCAAAGCUGAUCGAGACCUAUCCACACAGACUCAAGGCUGUAAUUGCUGUCAAAGGUCCAUCUACUAAAUACUGACUUCAAGGAUGUGAAUAUUUAUGCAAUCAAUUAUUUUGUGUUUUAUAUUUGUACUUAAUUUAAUCACUUUGUAGAGAUUGUUUUUCACUUUGACACAAUGGAAUCUUUUUCUGUUGAUCAGUGUCAAACCCGUUGUGAUUCAAUGCUGUAAAACAAUAAAACAUGAAAAUUUCCAGGGGGAUGAAUACUUUUUAUAGACACUGUAACACAGAGGAAAAAUUCUUUACAACUAUGUAAAAAUAGGUUGCUUUUAAGCUGCUAGUUUCAAAACAGUGUAGUCAUAGGGAAUCUUUUUAGCAGGUUAUGAGGCCCUCUGUUGGUCAGAGUCAACCAAGGAUAUUGCAUCCUAGUUGUCUAUGUGAUACAUAAGCCAGGGCAACAUGAGAGCAAGCUUUUGUAUAUGCAACAGGUCUCCCCUUUCCACAUAGCUGAUGAAAUUAAAUGAAUGGCAGACACCAAUACAGUUAGGCACCAGCAGCAUCACAGAAUUUGCCAGUCAGCUUUAAACUCAACGUACAACUACCUUUGGGACUUCAGAUCCCGCCCCCCCCCUCAGGGUUUACUCCCUAAUCCUUCCCCAUGAGAGGGGAAAACAGCUGAAAGAUAGUGGAGGUUUGUGAUCAGAGUUUUCCUUCUCCUAGAUGAACUGCCAACCAUUGCUGACGAGCCUGGAUCUGCCCAAAGCGACUGAUUUUAAGGUGCCAGUAACCCACUUUCGCCUCUCGUCCUGCAAGUAGGAACAGUUCCACUGACUAGAGGCUAAGCCACACAUGAAGGCCAGGAGCUGGACCUGGUUGUCAGAGAAGACACAUGCUAUUAAGAGCUUAUCCCCACCACCUCCCCAGCCAAGAGAACCUUAAGGAAAAGUAAUUUGUUCGUAUGUUAACAAACUGAUUAUAACAACAGCUGGAAGCCAUCUCCAACUCCCGUACUGUCAGAACCAGCAACGAAUGAGAUGAUGGAAAAUAUGAAAACUAUGCACCAAACGUCACAGAUUUACAAUCAUCUAACUUCACAACAAAAAAAGGACCCAGAAACUGCCUACAAACUGAUACAAACAGCAAUAUGAAAUUCAGAUCUCUCUCAACGGUGCAUUAAAAAUGAAUGCACUGAUCAAAAUCAGCCACUUUAGGGGGUACUAAUGACAACCAAUCUAUGAAUCAAGACAUUGGACCAUUGAUUUUCUGGUUUUCUUUCCUAUAUAAAAUUAAUUUACAUUAUCAUUAUUCAUUACAUUUUUGGGGUGGGAAAGAAGAUGCCCCAUUUGGUAUCCCAUUGCCCCAGUAUGAAUAUGGUCCUUGCC